AUUAAACGCUGGCGGCAUGCCUUACACAUGCAGGUCGAACGGCAGCACGGGGGCAACCCUGGUGGCGAGUGGCGGACGGGUGAGUAAAGCAUCGGAACGUAUCCUGGAGUGGGGGAUAACGUAGCGAAAGUUACGCUAAUACCGCAUAUUCUGUGAGCAGGAAAGCAGGGGAUCGCAAGACCUUGCGCUCUGGGAGCGGCCGAUGUCGGAUUAGCUAGUUGGUGGGGUAAAGGCCUACCAAGGCGACGAUCCGUAGCGGGUCUGAGAGGAUGAUCCGCCACACUGGGACUGAGACACGGCCCAGACUCCUACGGGAGGCAGCAGUGGGGAAUUUUGGACAAUGGGCGCAAGCCUGAUCCAGCCAUGCCGCGUGAGUGAAGACGGCCUGCGGGUUGUAAAGCCCUUUAGGCGGGAGGAACGACUGGGUGUGAAUAGCAUCUGGAAGUGACGUUACCCGCGGAAUAAGCACCGGCUAACUCCGUGCCAGCAGCCGCGGUAAU
rnacentral:rRNA from 1 species